UACAGAAGCUGCAUCCCUGAACUGAGCAACCAAAUUUCUCCUAUGGUGAUAUGGAAACUUUAGGGAACUGCAUCUGGUGAAUCUUGUAGAUCUGUGCCUGAGAAAAGUUCUACCUUUCCUUGUAUGAGCAGCUGUCUGGUGCUAUGUGGAUGUUUAACCAGUGAACUGCUUGGCAAUAAAGGAAGAAGACUAAGGGAGGAGCCUGGUGAGCCUGACCUGGGACCACAGAGGAUCUCAGAGAACAUCCAGCACCGCUGUAACUGAGCACCCAGGGCAGUGAGAUGGACUCUCCCCACCUCAUGGGGUUGUGUUUCCUGCUCCUGGCUGUUGCAGCUCCCUGUCCAAAUAUUGCCAUGGCCAGUGGUCACCCAGCUGAGAGGACACAUGACUCUUCCUCUGGCAAAACAAAUGUGACAGUCGACUACCGUAAAGACUGUGCAAUGAGCUUAUGUGAAACAGGCAGUUGUGAAAGAUUUGUAAAAAUUGCUGAAAUAGAAAAUGAGGUGUUUUCAAAUGGAAAAUUGAGUUGGUGACCAAGGAAAAACACAUCCUUAUGUGCUUUCAGCAAGCAAAUACUUUUCCUGAAGGAAUUUCUGACAUCAUCUGCCUUAAAACGGUGGGAGCGAGAUACUUGUGUGACAUCCUGAAUUCUGCAGCUUUCUCAGCAAAUGGGAGAGGUAGCAUCAGUCCUGAGGAGAAUAAAAUUUGCUGUGAAGCAGAAACAAAUGUCUGAGAGUCCCAUCCUAUGCUGAAGUGCCACAUUGAAAUGUCAGAUGCAGAAACUGGAAAACCAACAACUGGCAUCCUUGGUGAGGAA